AGCACUUGUGUCUGUUUCCACCUAACUUGUGGACUAAGACUUAUGGGUAGGUGUAAAAGCAAAUGCUCUUUGCCACCCAGAACUCACUGUUGAGUGAGUUUUGAUGUAGAGGAGGAGUGUGGG
ensembl:snoRNA